rnacentral:misc_RNA from 1 species
CGCACCUUGCGCCCUGUGGUAUUCCGCAGGGCAUGCCUGUUUGAGUGUCAUGUAACUCUCAACCCCCGGGUUUUGUGACCUGGGCGGUUGGAUGUGGGCGUUUGCGGCGGAUGCCGCUCGCCUUAAAUGCGUUAGUGGGAGGUGUCGACCCGACGGCGUAAUAAGUUUCGCUGAGAGGGGAGGCGCGGACUGCUUCGAACGGGCUUCGGCCAACUUUUUGAUCUGACCUCAAAUCAGGUAGGACUACCCGCUGAACUUAA